GAACUUAGCAGAGAUGCUUUGGUGCCUUCGGGAACUCUGAGACAGGUGCUGCAUGGCUGUCGUCAGCUCGUGUUGUGAAAUGUUGGGUUAAGUCCCGCAACGAGCGCAACCCUUAUCCUUUGUUGCCAGCGGCUCGGCCGGGAAACUCAAAGGAGACUGCCGGUGAUAAACCGGAGGAAGGUGGGGAUGACGUCAAGUCAUCAUGGCCCUUACGGCCAGGGCUACACACGUGCUACAAUGGCGCAUACAAAGAGAAGCGACCUCGCGAGAGCAAGCGGACCUCAUAAAGUGCGUCGUAGUCCGGAUUGGAGUCUGCAACUCGACUCCAUGAAGUCGGAAUCGCUAGUAAUCGUAGAUCAGAAUGCUACGGUGAAUACGUUCCCGGGCCUUGUACACACCGCCCGUCACACCAUGGGAGUGGGUUGCAAAAGAAGUAGGUAGCUUAACCUUCGGGAGGGCGCUUACCACUUUGUGAUUCAUGACUGGGGUGAAGUCGUAACAAGGUAGGCGUAGCGAG
rnacentral:rRNA from 1 species